rnacentral:rRNA from 1 species
AAUACAGAGGGUGCAAGCGUUGUUCGGAAUUAUUGGGCGUAAAGCGCGUGUAGGCGGCCUAGCAAGUCGGGUGUGAAAGCCCUCAGCUCAACUGAGGAAGUGCGCCCGAAACUGUUGGGCUUGAGUACCGGAGAGGAUGGCGGAAUUCCCCAAGUAGAGGUGAAAUUCGUAGAGAUGGGGAGGAACGCCGGUGGCGAAGGCGGCCAUCUGGACGGAUACUGACGCUGAGACGCGAAAGCGUGGGUAGCAAACAGGA